rnacentral:rRNA from 1 species
CGCCGUUUACCGGGGCUUCGAUCAAGAGCUUCGCUUGCGCUAACCCCAUCAAUUAACCUUCCGGCACCGGGCAGGCGUCACACCGUAUACGUCCACUUUCGUGUUUGCACAGUGCUGUGUUUUUAAUAAACAGUUGCAGCCAGCUGGUAUCUUCGACUGAUUUCAGCUCCA